GAGUAGGGCGGGACACGUGGUAUCCUGUCUGAAUAUGGGGGGACCAUCCUCCAAGGCUAAAUACUCCUGACUGACCGAUAGUGAACCAGUACCGUGAGGGAAAGGCGAAAAGAACCCCGGCGAGGGGAGUGAAAAAGAACCUGAAACCGUGUACGUACAAGCAGUGGGAGCACCUUCGGGUGUGACUGCGUACCUUUUGUAUAAUGGGUCAGCGACUUAUAUUCUGUAGCAAGGUUAACCGUAUAGGGGAGCCGCAGGGAAACCGAGUCUUAACUGGGCGUUAAGUUGCAGGGUAUAGACCCGAAACCCGGUGAUCUAGCCAUGGGCAGGUUGAAGGUUGGGUAACACUAACUGGAGGACCGAACCGACUAAUGUUGAAAAAUUAGCGGAUGACUUGUGGCUGGGGGUGAAAGGCCAAUCAAACCGGGAGAUAGCUGGUUCUCCCCGAAAGCUAUUUAGGUAGCGCCUCGUGAACUCAUCUUCGGGGGUAGAGCACUGUUUCGGCUAGGGGGUCAUCCCGACUUACCAACCCGAUGCAAACUACGAAUACCGAAGAAUGUUAUCACGGGAGACACACGGCGGGUGCUAACGUCCGUCGUGAAGAGGGAAACAACCCAGACCGCCAGCUAAGGUCCCAAAGUCAUGGUUAAGUGGGAAACGAUGUGGGAAGGCACAGACAGCCAGGAUGUUGGCUUAGAAGCAGCCAUCAUUUAAAGAAAGCGUAAUAGCUCACUGGUCGAGUCGGCCUGCGCGGAAGAUGUAACGGGGCUAAACCAUGCACCGAAGCUGCGGCAGCGACACUAUGUGUUGUUGGGUAGGGGAGCGUUCUGUAAGCCUG
rnacentral:rRNA from 1 species